AUUACUCCUCCUCAAUUCCUGGGAAAGUCCCCCCUCAGGAGCCAAAGCAGUCACUCAGCUCCUCCCACCCAGAAGCCUUCCUGCCCCAGGCGCUGGGGAGCAGAGUCCGCUCCUCCACAGGACCAGGGCUCGGCGUCUGUCUAGGCCCACAGCUGCCCUUCCCGGAAUUGCUCCCCACCCACAGCACAGCAGGCUGGGGCUUUCCUGCUGCAGAGGACCCCUGGGGCAGCACCCCCAGCCCAGGGAGAAGAGAGGGGGCAGCUGGCUGUCAGCACUACCACUGUGCAACUGCGGUGACCUCUUCAGGGCAUCAGAGUGGCGGCCUCCCGCUGCAGUGGAGUCUGGACCCCGGGCACCUGCAGGGGACCAGGAGCUCCACAUUUCCUUUGCGGUGAUAUACUGCCCACAGGCAGGCUGA
rnacentral:lncRNA from 1 species